rnacentral:rRNA from 1 species
AUUGAACGCUGGCGGCAGGCCUAACACAUGCAAGUCGAACGAGUGGCGGACGGGUGAGUAAUGGCUGGGAAACUGCCUGAUGGAGGGGGAUAACUACUGGAAACGGUAGCUAAUACCGCAUACCAUCGGAUGUGCCCAGAGGGGAUUAGCUAGUAGGGGGGGUAAAGGCGCACCUAGGCGACGAGCCCUAGCUGGUCUGAGAGGAUGACCAGCCACACUGGAACUGAGACACGGUCCAGACUCCUACGGGAGGCAGCAGUGGGGAAUAUUGCACAAUGGGCGAAAGUCUGAUACAGCCAUGCCGCGUGAGUGAAGAAGGCCUUCGGGUUGUAAAGUACUUUCAGCGGGGAGGCGUUACCCGCAGAAGAAGCACCGGCUAACUCCGUGCCAGCAGCCGCGGUAAUAC